AUAAUGAGUCCUGCACGCUGCGAUCGUAGAAGUCGUGAAGGCCUUUGGUGUCUCUUCCUUUCCAUGAUCCGUGAAGCUCAGCUGGUGGCACCAUGGUAUAGGAGUAUGUGAGUUGUUGCCUCCUUCCAGUUCUUGCUACAGAAGUUUGAAAGAUGGUUCCAGAAGCUAAGGUUCAACUUGUGGCUGACACGGAGCUAUACUAUGAUACAUCGAAUUCUGUCGCCUACUCGCCUACUCUACAUUGUGCAAACCGCGAGCACCACCGCUGGAUCAACAAGAAUCCAGACAUGCCACAUGAAGGAAAGUUUGCUAAAGCUCUUUAAUUGGGACGGUGGGAUCUGCUUUGUUUUCCCUUCUUGGGUUCUCCUUUUAUAAUCUUGGGUGCCAGCAUAUCAAAGACAGUCUAUGUACUUUCUCGAGAAUGAAAUGCUGUUAUAUUUAUGGGUUCUUGUCUGGGUGCCAUGAUUUAACUUUCUUUGCACUAUCUCUUACCAGUGUUUGUUCUUUCUCAGGUUGUGAGGCCUGAGUUUUUGACUUGCACCUUUGGCAGGUCAUUGAAAUCAGAACCCCGUCAACUCUGAAGCGGCUGGUACAUCAAUUUCUAUAACUCACAGAAUUCCCUACUUCAAUUGCACAUGCAUGCUUGAUGGAUAUGAGGAUAUCUUGUACGAGUUAACGAGUGAGCUGAUGUCUGAUUUUACUUGCUCUGAAUUUUGCAUAGAAAUGCUUCGUCAGUUCUCCCAUACUCAUAGCACCAUAAAAAUACCCCUUUGCAGAUUUGCUUUCACUAAGAAAACUUUCCUUUUUUUGUUUGAUAUGGGCACCCUGGUUUGCUAACCAACCAAAUCAGCUACCUGAGUACUCAUUAAUGUUUGAUUAUUUCAUCUUUUAGGCUGCACUAAGGAUAAUUUUAUGGCUCUCUCUCUCUAAAUUAAUCUUUACCUUAUGGCGUAAAAAUAUUUACCUGCAGAUUCUAGCAUUAAGUCGUACUUCCUGAAGACGUAGUUGAUUAUGAAACUUAGACACUGUAACCUUAGACCAGAUCAGAAGCAACAUUUGUACAUGCCCCAUUCCAGAAUAUGCAGAGAAGAUGAUCGCUGCAAUUGAUGAAGUACGAGUUGAUAGAAAUUAGAUUGGUGGGACGGUCACAUGUAUUGCGAGAAAUGUUCCUCGUGCUCGGGAAUGAUAUACAAUUAUGUUGGGUACUUGCUGUGGGAUUUUUCACCUUUCGUGUACCUGGUGGCUUUGCCUUGGCGCUACCAUUGUCGUUGAGGAUGCAGGACAUGGUGGUGGUUCCACUGGAUCCAGCACGUUAGGGAUUUUUUUUAUACCAUGGUGCAUCUUUCUGAUGUGCGUGUUGCUUCAGAUGGUCACUUGUCUUACUAUCUACUCUGCUAUUUUGUGUGGGAAUUCCCUGACUUUUUACAGUAGAAAGGAAAGCAUUGCCCCCUCUUUUAUUUUUAGCACGAUAUUCAGUGCUAAUUUUGAGUGGAAGAAGUGGAAAAAUUUCAGGGAGGAGGACGGAUAUGUUGGAUCUGCUUCGAUGGUGGAGGCCGGCGCUGGAUUUUGGGUGAUCUGCUUCGAUGGUCGAAGCCGGCGCUGGAUUGGGGUUUCACGAUCAUGAUGGUCAUCCUUUCUACCAGCACUGCAUGGCGUCGACGUUGUGCGGGCGAAGCUUUAGCAUCAAACACGAAGUAGCCUGCAUGUUCAUAUGCAUAGUCGAUGGUGCGCUGACAUCAUGGCUGCCGUGGUCUACAGGUUGGAGCAGUGGUACCUGCCACAUGACUUCCAGGGCGCUGCUCGUGGAGCUCCAGUUGCAGAGCACUUAGGCUCCGCCGACUUGCCAUGGCCGAGCUUCGCUGCAGCGCCAGAGUCGUUGCCGAGGCCGCAGGACAUCAUGGUGGUGGAACCUGGGGUGGUGAUCAUAAGAGAGUAGGAGAGGAGUGUAUGUGUGUGUGUGUGUGUGUGUGUGGUCGCGAGGUGUUCAAUUUAUAUUUCAUAACAAAACCUUUAUCUCUUAACCCAGUUCUUCUGCUUGCAUAUUUGUUGUGGUUUUGUGGUGUGGUAAGAAUUGGAAGGGAAAGUUCAUCAACCAUUUAUCAUACUGACGCAUGUAAUUCUACUCUAGAUCCUUCUGUACAUGCAUUUUUAUUUCAAACCAUUCAUGAGUUG